rnacentral:rRNA from 1 species
AUACGGAGGGUGCAAGCGUUACUCGGAAUCACUGGGCGUAAGGCGCGCGCAGGCGGCUAUUUAAGUUGGAUGUGAAAGCCUACGGCUCAACCGUAGAACUGCAUCCAAAACUAUUUAGCUAGAGUGUGGGAGAGGAAGAUGGAAUUAGUUGUGUAGGGGUAAAAUCCGUAGAGAUAACUAGGAAUACCAAAAGCGAAGGCAAUCUUCUGGAACACUACUGACGCUGAGGCGCGAAAGCGUGGGGAGCAAACAGGAUUAGAAACCCGAGUAGUCC